rnacentral:rRNA from 1 species
CCUACGGGGGGCAGCAGUAGGGAAUCUUCCGCAAUGGACGAAAGUCUGACGGAGCAACGCCGCGUGAGUGAAGAAGGAUUUCGGUUCGUAAAACUCUGUUGUUAGAGAAGAACAGCGCAUAGAGUAACUGUUAUGCGUGUGACGGUAUCUAACCAGAAAGCCACGGCUAACUACGUGCCAGCAGCCGCGGUAAUACGUAGGUGGCAAGCGUUGUCCGGAUUUAUUGGGCGUAAAGCGAGCGCAGGCGGUCAAUUAAGUCUGAUGUGAAAGCCCCCGGCUCAACCGGGGAGGGUCAUUGGAAACUGGUUGACUUGAGUGCAGAAGAGGAGAGUGGAAUUCCAUGUGUAGCGGUGAAAUGCGUAGAUAUAUGGAGGAACACCAGUGGCGAAGGCGACUCUCUGGUCUGUAACUGACGCUGAGGCUCGAAAGCGUGGGUAGCAAACAGGAUUAGAUACCCCGGUAGUC